rnacentral:snRNA from 1 species
GUGCUUGCUUUGGCAGCACAUAUACUAAAAUUGGAUCGAUACAGAGAAGAUUAGCAUGGCCCCU